ensembl:lncRNA
GUGGGAAUCACAGCACUUACACAGACGAGCCCUCAGGGGGUUUGCUAAGCACUAAAAUCACCAUUCAAAGACAUGCAAUACCUUGUUUGACCCUUCUGGUCUUGUUUGGCUGACGUGGGCGUGUUUUUGUUUUUACUCUCUUUCCUGUCAUAUAUUGUCCCCUUUUUUUUUUUUCCCUCUCCAGCAAUGUUGACUGUUCCAUCUGCUUAUUUAUCACCCACAGUUAGAACCUGAAUUUCAAUUACCAAUCUGCUCUGCCGGGUUCUCUCUUAAGCGAGGCAUUGAAAGCUCCAACAAAGCUUUAACACAGAAAACCGCUUGUAAUGCUGCUGUUAGAGCUUCUCCAUCACAUCCACGAGCGAAAUGAAUACUUCUGCUAUCAAGAUGCAUCUGAUAAAUUAGGUUUAGUCCUCCUUGACGGCAGCGGGUAGAAGGCAUCUCAGCACAGAUAGAAUGAUUUCGAAUGGCUGAGAUGGAAAAUGCUCUUUGCUUCGGAGAUUCAAAAGACACUGAGAACUCAUAUAGUGAGGAAUGAUUUAUCUAGGAAGUGGGAAUAGCAGUCUCUGGGGCAGUGAGAGCCCUCGUCCAAACCCCACUGAUGUGGGAUUAAAGUGAAGCUCCUGCCAAAGUUCUCCACUGAAUCACGGCUGAAGGGAUGGAUUCCAGCCCUACCCACAUCUGGGUAACAUCGUCCUGCCCAGAGCAAUGGAAAAACCUCCAGGCGGGUCAGCAAGGGAGGUCCAUCCGUACAGCGAGCUGCUCACCGGUCUCAGCCCAGCACCAGCCACCUCGCGGGCCAGGGGCGGUAAUUAGGGCCGCG